UAGGAUAGCUCAGCUGGUAGAGUCUGAGACUCUUAACCUCAGGGUUGUGGGUUCAAGUCCCACAUUGGGCAAAA